GACGAACGCUGGCGGCGUGCCUAAUACAUGCAAGUCGAACGUAGUGGGGACGGGUGAGUAACACGUGGGUAACCUCCCAUCAGAGGGGAUAACACUUGGAAACAGGUGCUAAACCGAUACUGAUGGAUGGACCCGCGGGGCAUUAGCUAGUUGGUGGGGUAACGGCUCACCAAGGCAACGAUGCAUAGCCGGCCUGAGAGGAUGAUCAGCCACACUGGAACUGAGACACGGCCCAGACUCCUACGGGAGGCAGCAGUGGGGAAUCUUGGGCAAUGGGCGAAAGUCUGACCGAGCAACGCCGCGUGAAUGAAGAAGGCUUUCGGGUCGUAAAGCACUGUUGUUGGGGAGGCGGUAUCUGACCAAGAAGCAACGGCUAACUACGUGCCAGCAGCCGCGGUAAUAC
rnacentral:rRNA from 1 species